rnacentral:rRNA from 1 species
CUUUCCCUCUUUCUUCAUGCCUUACACAUGCAAGUCGAACGGUAACGGGUCCUUCGGGAUGCCGACGAGUGGCGAACGGGUGAGUAAUAUAUCGGAACGUGCCCAGUAGUGGGGGAUAACUGCUCGAAAGAGCAGCUACUGCCGCAUACGACCUGAGGGUGAAAGGGGGGGAUCGCAGGACCUUUUGCUCUUGUAGCGGCCGAUAUAAGAUUAGUCAGUUGGUGGGGUAAAGGCCUACCAAGGCAACUAUCUGUAGUUGGUCUGAGAGGACGACCAGCCACACUGGGACUGAGACACGGCCCAGACUCCUACGGGAGGCAGCAGUGGGGAAUGUUGGACAAUAGGCGCAAGCCUGAUCCAGCAAUGCCGCGUGCAGGAAGAAGGCCUUCGGGUUGUAAACUGCUUUUGUCAGGGAAGAAAUCUUCUGGGCUAAUACCACGUGAGGAUGACGGUACCUGAAGAAUAAGCACCGGCUAACUACGUG